AGAGCGAACGCUGGCGGCAGGCCUAACACAUGCAAGUCGAGCGCCCCGCAAGGGGAGCGGCAGACGGGAGAGUAACACGUGGGAACGUACCCUUCAGUUCGGAACAACCCAGGGAAACUUGGGCUAAUACCGAAUACGUCCGUAAGGAGAAAGAUUUAUCGCUGAAGGAUCGGCCCGCGUCUGAUUAGCUAGUUGGUGAGGUAACGGCUCACCAAGGCGACGAUCAGUAGCUGGUCUGAGAGGAUGAUCAGCCUCACUGGGACUGAGACACGGCCCAGACUCCUACGGGAGGCAGCAGUGGGGAAUAGUUGGACAAUGGGCGACAAGCCUGAUCCGAGCCAUCGCCGCGGUGGGUGAGUGGAACGGGUCCCUAGGGGUUACGUAAACGGUCCCGUUUUCGGGACGGGGGAAGAGUAAGUCGGAACGGUACCCGACGAAGAAGAACGCCCCGGACUAACGUUCGUCG
rnacentral:rRNA from 1 species